AACGUGCCCUUUGGUUCGGAACAACUCAGGGAAACUUGAGCUAAUACCGGAUGUGCCCUUCGGGGGAAAGAUUUAUCGCCAUUGGAGCGGCCCGCGUCUGAUUAGCUAGUUGGUGGGGUAAAGGCCCACCAAGGCGACGAUCAGUAGCUGGUCUGAGAGGAUGAUCAGCCACAUUGGGACUGAGACACGGCCCAAACUCCUACGGGAGGCAGCAGUGGGGAAUAUUGCACAAUGGGCGAAAGCCUGAUGCAGCCAUGCCGCGUGAAUGAUGAAGGCCUUAGGGUUGUAAAGUUCUUUCACCGGGGACGAUAAUGACGGUACCCGGAGAAGAAGCCCCGGCUAACUUCGUGCCAGCAGCCGCGGUAAUACGAAGGGGGCUAGCGUUGCUCGGAAUUACUGGGCGUAAAGGGAGCGUAGGCGGACUGUUAAGUCAGAGGUGAAAGCCCAGGGCUCAACCUUGGAAUUGCCUUUGAUACUGGCAGUCUUGAGUACGGAAGAGGUAUGUGGAACUCCGAGUGUAGAGGUGAAAUUCGUAGAUAUUCGGAAGAACACCAGUGGCGAAGGCGGCAUACUGGUCCGUUACUGACGCUGAGGCUCGAAAGCGUGGGGAGCAAACAGGAUUAGAUACCCUGGUAGUCCACGCCGUAAACGAUGAGUGCUAGUUGUCGGCAUGCAUGCAUGUCGGUGACGCAGCUAACGCAUUAAGCACUCCGCCUGGGGAGUACGGUCGCAAGAUUAAAACUCAUAGGAAUUGACGGGGGCGCGCACAAGCGGUGGAGCAUGUGGUUUAAUUCGAAGCAACGCG
rnacentral:rRNA from 1 species